CAGUCCACGCGAGUGACAAGCACACAAGUGGACUCCGCCUCUGCGCCGCCUCUGCUCCUUCUUGUGUGUGCUUCUCUUCCUUUAUUCGGAGGUGAGGAGAGGCCUCCCUCUCCCCCUCUCUCUCUCUUAGUGUGCCCCUCCGCGGCAACCUCUGAGCUAUCCAGCUCCGCUUUCUGAGAGGAGAGCAAGACUUGGUGAAAGGGGGAAACCCACACGCACACGCAACGUGCUGGUGAGCGCCUGUGCUUCUCAUCCCAGCCUCCUUUGGGCAACUCAGCUCCUGGUCUUUUCGCGGUGCACAUGUCUACAACAGCCUACAAGGAGGCGGUAGAGGCACCAGCCACGGCGGCGCGUCGCCGAAAAGCGGGUCGUGUGAACUACCUGAUCGAGAACGCCACCCCUGCGAUGCUGUGUCUCGUGCGGGCUGCCGAGCCGAAGCCGUACACGGCACUCUCCCCCGAAGCCCUCUAUGAGGCAGUGCAGCCGCACGACCACACGCUCCGCCCAUCGCCGUUCAUUGCCCAUCAAGCGCUCAUGGACUUCUACAAGGUGUGCGAUGGCUACUAUGGCGUGGACCGGGAGGAGGUGGAUGUGCAGCAGCUCACCUCCUUCGAGCACAAAAAGCCACACGGUGGGGCAUCAAGUGGGAACAACAGCGGCAGCAACAGCGGAGCCACUCUGUCGUCGUUGCUGUCUGGGUCGGCGUCUGCCACUCCAUCGUCGUCACUGUCUGCUGCCGCCGGCGCCCCUCCGCUUCCGCCGCUGCCGUCCCCCGACGACCCGAACCUGGCUGAGAAGCUCAAUGACUAUCGCAUCGCACAGCUGCGCCGCAACGCCCAGCACGUGGAUAAUACCGUCUACCACGCGCACAACAGCAGCAACGGUUCCAUCACGAGCAACGUCGCGAACGCGGGCAUCAGUGGGGUGUGCCACUUCUACCGCACACCUGAGGGCUGCCAAAGAGGCGCGGCAUGCCCUUUCACUCACCUGGACAAGCACGGACAGCCGGUCAACCGCGUCCCAAAGUCGUGAGCGCGCGAGAUGACGCGGGCGAUUCCAAGUAUCCUCGGUGCCACGAUAAGCGGCGGUUGCUAUACUGUUUAUUCACACAACUGACAACGAUGGCGGAGGUGUAGUCUGCUGAGAAACGCCCGUUGUGCGCGCGCGUGGGCAGGCGUGUCUGUGUACUCCUCGUAGUGCCUCGACAUCGUCUCGCCCACCCACGCCGGUAUCUCGACUAGGGUCACUGUGUAUUGCGACCGUAUCAGCGGCAUCCAUACGAGUACCGACGGGGGGACGCAGUGCCACAUCACUUUAGAGUGAGCAGCAUAUG
rnacentral:misc_RNA from 1 species